GGAGGCUGUCCAGGAGGCCCAGGCAGCAGUGUGGCCAUGCCGGGGCAUCCACAGCAGUGGGGCUGGGGCUGAGGUCCAGGCUGCCCUCUCUCCUCCUGGGCCACAUGGAGGUGGUAACUAACAGCAGCCACAUGGAAAGCGGGCACCAGCUUCUCUCUUCCUCCAGGGGCCUUUCCCUCUGUGGGUGCCUCUCAGUUCCCCACUCCCCCUUCCCCACAAAGAGCUCCAGCCUGCCCAGCCAGGCAGCAGCUGCCACAGCCCAGGAACCCAAGAAAUGUGCUUGGCUGCCUCUGCACAUUGCAGACUCUGCAGAGACGUGGCCCUGCCUGUGGCAGGAGAGUCUGGACACCCCUGGGUUGUUCUUCACAGAGACAGGCCUGGAUGGGUCGUGCUGGAUUGUCUUGCUGRAAGAGGCGCCAACCCUCUCCUUGGGACUCUCAUUUUGGAAGUGAGAAGCCGCCAGGGACCUGCCGGCUGCCCAGGUAAGCCCCCUGGUUCACGGCAGGGGUCUCCUGGAGCUUCUUGUAGGUCCUCAGGGAGUGGGGUGUCCGGUCCUGGGAGAAGAAGGCGGCUGGUCCUUGGCACAGGGUGCCGGUUCCCGGUGGCCCGUGGGUGGAGCUGCUCUCAGGGUUCCGUCACUUUACCCUGUCCUCUCUGCCCUUGGCAGGAACACAGGGACUGGAAGGCGCUAGCUGAGUGUGGCGCUGCCUCUGAACUUUGGGACAUGAGUGGCACUUGCCUUCAGUGCCCGAGGGCAGGAACUCUGGUCUUGUUCUGCCAUGUUCUGCCAUGCGGACCUGGGCGCCCGCUGGGGAAGGGCCCGGGUCCCUCACACUCCUGGCAUGCACUACCUGCUCGUGCCCUUUGCUCCCGCGUGUGAGCACACAUGCAUGCGUGCGUGCACGUGUGUGUGGAGGAGUCACAGACAAGAGAGGGUUCAGGCCAGCAGGACAGUGGACACGCGUCAUGGUGGAGAAGGGGCCCUGAGCCAGUCAGGAGGGCGUGGGGUGUGGUGUGGCCGGGCCCCUGCGUCUGCGCUGGCCUCUCUGUGCGGCUCGGCCGUCCCUGUGCAUGCUGGACUGCCUGCUUGGGAAACAUACUUCUUUAUAUGCCCAUAUGGACCUGCUGAGCUAUGGAAUGUAAAGAAGUAUGUAUUUCAGGCAGGAACUCUCUCGUCAGACUGAGGGGUGGUCCGCCUACAGGGGCCGCCUGGGGUGGGGGGCGGCAGACAGGCUGUGGCGGGCGAGGCCGGGCAGGGCUGCCUGGCGACGGUCGGCCGUCCCUGCCGGCAUUGUUCUGACACUUUGCCUGUGUCAGCAGGUGGAAGCGCUCAUCAGACAUUAAAUAUUCAGCGUGCUGACUGCGGCAGAGGGGAGGAGGCCUCUGGCAGGCGUGGGGUCUGGUGUGGGUCCAGUGAGGGCCAGGGGCACAGGGGCCAUGGCUGGGGAACUGGGGUGGUGGCGGCUCUUGGUUCUCCAUUACUGCCGACCUGAAAGGGGUCAUUGGCCAGCAGGAAGGGCCCAAUGUGGCCAGAGGCAGGGGACUGCGCAGAUGCACGAGAGAAACUAUGAACCUUGAAAGGGUGGAGGGUAGUGAGCUGCAACGAGGGGCGAGAGGAGGGAGGAGGGAGAGGUGCCUCCUGGCCGGGUCUGGGCCCCAGCGGCCCAGGGCGAAGCGGAGGAGAGCAGGUCGGGAGAUGGAGAGGCCCCUCACUCACAGGGCCUAUGGGGCCCCCUGCAGCCCGGGGCCCUACUCUGCCAUGGGAGCCUUGGCCGCCCAUGCUGACCAGACCCAGGGAACAAAUGGGCUGAGCCUAUCCGGCCUCAAGCCCAGCAGCCACCCUGGCGGUCUGGCUCUACUCGAAUUUGCCAACCUCCCAGUGCCUUCUGCCACGCCUGGGCCCAGCCGAGGCCGGUGUCACUGCGCUCCCAUUUCAACAAACCCCUCUGGAUGCGCUUUGUUGUGGUGAGGGCUGCCAAGGCUUCUGCAGAAGGCCCCGCGUGUGACCCAGGACACUGCCCCUGUCCAUUGAGGGCUGAGUCCCCCCUGCUUCGCCACUGGCCAGUCUCUAACUCGAAGAAGGGCUGGGCUGACGCUCUUUGGGUUCCAGGAGGUGAGGACAGGGUCUGCAGCCCUUUCCGCAGGUCCUUCUGGACUGGACCAAGGGCAGGGGUAAUGGAGCAGUCCACAGGUGCGGGUGUGGAAGGGCAGUCUGCCCACUGUCGUUCUGGACCUCAGCUGGAGGCCUUCUGCAGCCUGGCUGGGGCCACUGCCCAUGCACAGGGCACCUGCUCCACAGGUCUGGGCUCUUCCCACGUGCAUGUGUGUGCGUGAGACAGCAUGAGUUGUUUCCGUCCCUAGCAUGGCCACUGGCUGCCUGUGGCAGGUGCCCUGUCCCAUCCUGUACUCUGAUCUUUGGCAGGAAUGUGAUGAGGAGGGUCGAAGGCCCCUCUGCCAAUCACCUGCAGUGUGGCAUUAGGCCUGGGGCAGCCAGGUCACCUGAGCCACUGAGGAGUCCAAGGGCCCCACACAGGGGGACCAGGGGCAGAUCUGAACUCAUGGGCAGCUCAGCCCUGGGAGUCUCAGGCGGGCUGCAACUGAGGGUCUCGGGGUCUUGGGUGGAGGGCCCCUCUCUAAUUUUCAGUCUUCCUCUGGAGGCUGUGUGUCCCAGGAACUCUGGCCCCCAACAUGGUUGGUGCGGCCCUGGGAAGGUGGCACUGUCCUUGGGCACURCCUCUACUGCAGCAGUCCAGAGUUUGUCGUGCCCAGCACCCCUGGAAGGUCAGCUCCACCCUACUAGGUCCUGCCACAGGGAGGGAAGUAGCCAGGGGAGCCGCCACCGAGGCCUGGGGCGGCCACAGGCAUACCGCAUCUUCCGCCAGAUGCGUCUGUGGAACAUGAGCGCUCAUUGCAGGAUGUGGUGUUAAAUAAAAGCAUUAGCGUUUGGAAUUAGGUUUGACUG
rnacentral:lncRNA from 1 species